GACGAACGCUGGCGGCGUGCCUAAUACAUGCAAGUCGAACGCAGUGGGGACGGGUGAGUAACACGUGGGUAACCUCCCAUCAGAGGGGAUAACACUUGGAAACAGGUGCUAAACCGAUACUGAUUUAGCGACCAGCGGUGCAUUAGCUAGUUGGUGGGGUAAAGGCUCACCAAGUCCACGAUGCAUAGCCGACCUGAGAGGGGGAUCGGCCACACUGGGACUGAGACACGGCCCAGACUCCUACGGGAGGCAGCAGUAGGGAAUAUUCCGCAAUGGACGAAAGUCUGACCGAGCCACGCCGCGUGAGUGAAGAAGGUUUUCGGAUCGUAAAACUCUGUUGUUAGAGAAGCGGUAUCUAACCAGAAAGCCCCGGCUAACUACGUGCCAGCAGCCGCGGUAAUAC
rnacentral:rRNA from 1 species